GGUUAAGUUAGAAAGGGCGCACGGUGGAUGCCUUGGCACUAGGAGCCGAAGAAGGACGGGACUAACACCGAUAUGCUUUGGGGAGCUGUACGUAAGCGUUGAUCCAGAGAUUUCCGAAUGGGGGAACCCACUAUCUUUAGUCGGAUAGUAUCCUUACGUGAAUACAUAGCGUGAGGAAGGCAGACCCAGGGAACUGAAACAUCUAAGUACCUGGAGGAAGAGAAAGAAAAAUCGAUUUCCUGAGUAGCGGCGAGCGAAACGGAAAGAGCCCAAACCAAGAAGCUUGCUUCUUGGGGUUGUAGGACACUCUAUACGGAGUUACAAAAGAAAGUUAUAAAUGAAGCGGUCUGGAAAGGCCCGCCAAAGACGGUAACAGCCCGGUAGUUGAAAUGGCUUUCCCUCCAGAGUGGAUCCUGAGUACGGCGGAACACGUGAAAUUCCGUCGGAAUCCGGGAGGACCAUCUCCCAAGGCUAAAUACUCCCUAGUGACCGAUAGUGAACCAGUACCGUGAGGGAAAGGUGAAAAGCACCCCGGAAGGGGAGUGAAACAGUUCCUGAAACCGUGUGCCUACAAGUAGUUAGAGCCCGUUAAUGGGUGAUAGCGUGCCUUUUGUAGAAUGAACCGGCGAGUUACGAUUUGUUGCAAGGUUAAGCGGAAAAAGCGGAGCCGUAGCGAAAGCGAGUCUGAAUAGGGCGCAUAAGUAACAGGUCGUAGACCCGAAACCAGGUGAUCUACCCAUGUCCAGGAUGAAGGUAAGGUAAUACUUACUGGAGGUCCGAACCCACGCACGUUGAAAAGUGCGGGGAUGAGGUGUGGGUAGCGGAGAAAUUCCAAUCGAACUUGGAGAUAGCUGGUUCUCUCCGAAAUAGCUUUAGGGCUAGCCUCGAGGUAAAGAGUCAUGGAGGUAGAGCACUGUUUGGACUAGGGGCCCUUCUCGGGUUACCGAAUUCAGAUAAACUCCGAAUGCCAUGUACUUAUACUCGGGAGUCAGACUGCGAGUGAUAAGAUCCGUAGUCGAAAGGGAAACAGCCCAGACCACCAGUUAAGGUCCCCAAAUAUAUGUUAAGUGGAAAAGGAUGUGGGGUUGCUUAGACAACCAGGAUGUUGGCUUAGAAGCAGCCACCAUUGAAAGAGUGCGUAAUAGCUCACUGGUCGAGUGACCCCGCGCCGAAAAUGUACCGGGGCUAAACAUAUUACCGAAACUGUGGAUGAACCUCUUUAGAGGUUCGUGGUAGGAGAGCGUUCUAAGGGCGGUGAAGUCAGACCGGAAGGACUGGUGGAGCGCUUAGAAGUGAGAAUGCCGGUAUGAGUAGCGAAAGAAGGGUGAGAAUCCCUUCCACCGAAUAUCUAAGGUUUCCUGAGGAAGGCUCGUCCGCUCAGGGUUAGUCGGGACCUAAGCCGAGGCCGAUAGGCGUAGGCGAUGGACAACAGGUAGAGAUUCCUGUACCAGUGCUAAUUGUUUAACCGAUGGGGUGACACAGAAGGAUAGGGAAUCGCACGAAUGGAAAUGUGCGUCCAAGCAGUGAGUGUGAGAAGUAGGCAAAUCCGCUUCUCGCNNNNNNNNNNNNNNNNNNNNNNNNNNNNNNNNNNNNNNNNNNNNNNNNNNNNNNNNNNNNNNNNNNNNNNNNNNNNNNNNNNNNNNNNNNNNNNNNNACGAAGCAUGAGCUGUGAUGGGGAAGGAAAUUAAGUACGGAAGUUCCUGAUUUCACGCUGUCAAGAAAAGCCUCUAGGAAGAGUAGUACUGCCCGUACCGCAAACCGACACAGGUAGAUGAGGAGAGAAUCCUAAGGUGAGCGAGAGAACUCUCGUUAAGGAACUCGGCAAAAUGACCCCGUAACUUCGGGAGAAGGGGUGCUCUAUUAGGGUGCAAGCCCGAGAGAGCCGCAGUGAAUAGGCCCAGGCGACUGUUUAGCAAAAACACAGGUCUCUGCAAAACCGUAAGGUGACGUAUAGGGGCUGACGCCUGCCCGGUGCUGGAAGGUUAAGAGGAGUGCUUAGCUUCGGCGAAGGUACGAAUUGAAGCCCCAGUAAACGGCGGCCGUAACUAUAACGGUCCUAAGGUAGCGAAAUUCCUUGUCGGGUAAGUUCCGACCCGCACGAAAGGCGCAACGAUCUGGGCACUGUCUCAACGAGAGACUCGGUGAAAUUAUAGUACCUGUGAAGAUGCAGGUUACCCGCGACAGGACGGAAAGACCCCGUGGAGCUUUACUGCAACCUGAUAUGGAAUGUUUGUACCGCUUGUACAGGAUAGGUAGGAGCCGAAGAGACGUGUGCGCUAGCAUACGAGGAGGCAAUGGUGGGAUACUACCCUGGCUGUAUGACCAUUCUAACCCGCCACGCUUAGCGCGUGGGGAGACAGUGUCAGGUGGGCAGUUUGACUGGGGCGGUCGCCUCCUAAAGAGUAACGGAGGCGCCCAAAGGUUCCCUCAGAAUGGAUGGAAAUCAUUCGCAGAGUGUAAAGGCACAAGGGAGCUUGACUGCGAGACUGACAAGUCGAGCAGGGACGAAAGUCGGGCUUAGUGAUCCGGUGGUUCCGCAUGGAAGGGCCAUCGCUCAACGGAUAAAAGCUACCCCGGGGAUAACAGGCUUAUCUCCCCCAAGAGUCCACAUCGACGGGGAGGUUUGGCACCUCGAUGUCGGCUCGUCGCAUCCUGGGGCUGUAGUCGGUCCCAAGGGUUGGGCUGUUCGCCCAUUAAAGCGGCACGCGAGCUGGGUUCAGAACGUCGUGAGACAGUUCGGUCCCUAUCCGUCGCGGGCGCAGGAAAUUUGAGAGGAGCUGUCCUUAGUACGAGAGGACCGGGAUGGACACACCGCUGGUGUACCAGUUGUUCCGCCAGGAGCAUCGCUGGGUAGCUAUGUGUGGCAGGGAUAAACGCUGAAAGCAUCUAAGCGUGAAGCCCCCCUCAAGAUGAGAUUUCCCAUUUCUUCGGAAAGUAAGAUCCCUGAAAGAUGAUCAGGUAGAUAGGUUUGGAGUGGAAGUGUAGCGAUACAUGGAGCGGACAAAUACUAAUCGAUCGAGGACUUAACCAA
rnacentral:rRNA from 1 species